ACGGAAGGCAGCAGUGGGGAAUAUUGCACAAUGGGCGAAAGCCUGAUGCAGCGACGCCGCGUGAGUGAAGAAGUAUCUCGGUAUGUAAAGCUCUAUCAGCAGGGAAGAAAAUGACGGUACCUGACUAAGAAGCCCCGGCUAACUACGUGCCAGCAGCCGCGGUAAUACGUAGGGGGCAAGCGUUAUCCGGAUUUACUGGGUGUAAAGGGAGCGUAGACGGUUUGGCAAGUCUGAAGUGAAAUGCGGGGGCUCAACUCCUGAACUGCUUUGGAAACUGUCGAACUAGAGUGCAGGAGAGGUAAGUGGAAUUCCUAGUGUAGCGGUGAAAUGCGUAGAUAUUAGGAAGAACACCAGUGGCGAAGGCGGUUAGCUGGACAAUAACUGACGCUGAGGCGCGAAAGCGUGGGUAGCAAACAGGAUUAGAUACCCUGGUA
rnacentral:rRNA from 1 species